rnacentral:rRNA from 1 species
CCUACGGGGGGCAGCAGUGGGGAAUCUUAGACAAUGGGGGAAACCCUGAUCUAGCCAUGCCGCGUGAUCGAUGAAGGCCUUAGGGUUGUAAAGAUCUUUCAGUGGGGAAGAUAAUGACGGUACCCACAGAAGAAGCCCCGGCUAACUCCGUGCCAGCAGCCGCGGUAAUACGGAGGGGGCUAGCGUUGUUCGGAAUUACUGGGCGUAAAGCGCACGUAGGCGGACCGGAAAGUCAGAGGUGAAAUCCCAGGGCUCAACCUUGGAACUGCCUUUGAAACUCCUGGUCUUGAGGUCGAGAGAGGUGAGUGGAAUUCCGAGUGUAGAGGUGAAAUUCGUAGAUAUUCGGAGGAACACCAGUGGCGAAGGCGGCUCACUGGCUCGAUACUGACGCUGAGGUGCGAAAGCGUGGGGAGCAAACAGGAUUAGAUACCCCAGUAGUC